rnacentral:miRNA from 1 species
AAAUUCAGACUACUAGGCUCCAUGUCAAAAAAAAUCAUUUUCAAGCCAAGGGUGGAAUCCAAGAAUCUGCAUUUUUAAUAAGCUCCUUAUGAUGAUAUAUGCAUUAAGGUUUGGGAAC